GUAUUGUUCGGUUCGCAGUGCGUACCGAACCGUGCACCGUGGACCCUGUACCGAACAGUUCAAUAUGAAUACACGUACCGUUUCACCUCUACUAUCCAUAGAGAAUUAUUAAAUCACUGCAUAAAAAUCCUCACUAGUAUGAGAAGGCCAUCGACCAGUUUGUCAACCAGACUAUGAGAAGAAAGGACUUCAUCUUUAACUAAUUCCCCCAUGCUACACCCAUGGCCCUCUGAAAAACUAAACAGACUGAACAGCCCUGUACCCCUUUGAAGAACUGAACAGCCCUGUACCCCUUUGAAGAACUGAACAGUCUGUGCCCAUCUGAAGAACUGAACAGUCUGUGCCCCUCUGAAGAACGGAAUCCCCUGGUUAUUCCCCAUUUCCCAUAUGCCCUUUCAUCCACUGGCACAUUGAAUGUUUCCUGUCCAAGCACUUCAAAUCCUGUACUGCCCUUAGUGGAGGAGUUGGGCUCUUCUCCAACACCAUCCAUCCAUCCAUCCAUGAUUAAGCUUUUUCUGCACUGA